rnacentral:tRNA from 1 species
CUAGGUGUAGCUCAGCAGCGAGAGCACUUGCCUUGGGAGCAAGGGGCCGGUGGUGCAAGUCCACUCACCUAGUCCC